UUAAGUUCAGCGGGUCUUCCUGCCUGAUUUGAGACCAUGGUUCAAGUCAACCCCGAAAGGUUGCCUUUAAUAGUUGAGUGCCGGACAAGCACCAUCACCCGUACUGAGUAUUAGAGAAACCGAAGUCUCAUACACAUACUUUUCCGUUACUUGACAGUAUCCAGCAGCAAUAGUUUUAAAAGCACGCAGUGUAAGUGCGA
rnacentral:misc_RNA from 1 species